CACCCCCCUCUAAACGAUGCGUUUAUCAUGUUACCCACAUCCCAUAACCCACUAACCUACUGUAACUACCUACCAUUCUCUCUAAAACCUUCUUCUUCAUUUCUCUAGACUUUCUCUCUCAUCAAAACUAGAAAAUAUGAACCAAAAUUGCUUCAAAAUACUACAAAAUUGCUUCAAAAUACUACGAAAUUGCUUCAAAAUAUUGCUAAAUUCCUUCAAAUGUCUACAUUUGCGAAGAAAUUCAACAAUCGCAACAACAUUCACAGAAAGAAACCGAAAAAUAUAUUUCGAAUUAGAGAGAUAAAGAGAAUGAUGAUUCAGAGAAGAAUCAUGUUCGUUGAACAUAACAAGGCAUAGUCUGAAGAAACGUGAACCAAAUUAGGAAGCAAGGAUGCGGAACUGAUG